GUGCUGGCUUCAGCAGCACAUAUACUAAAAUUGGAAAGAAACAGAGAUUGGCAUGGCCCCCGCGCAAGGAUGACACACAAAUUCCUGAAGCGUUCCAUAUUUUU
rnacentral:snRNA from 1 species